rnacentral:rRNA from 1 species
AACGAACGCUGGCGGCAUGCCUAACACAUGCAAGUCGAACGAGACCUUCGGGUCUAGUGGCGAACGGGUGCGUAACGCGUGGGAACCUGCCCUUAGGUUCGGAAUAACUCCCCGAAAGGGGUGCUAAUACCGGAUAAUGUCUUCGGACCAAAGAUUUAUCGCCUUUGGAUGGGCCCGCGUUGGAUUAGCUAGUUGGUAGGGUAAAAGCCUACCAAGGCGACGAUCCAUAGCUGGUCUGAGAGGAUGAUCAGCCACACUGGGACUGAGACACGGCCCAGACUCCUACGGGAGGCAGCAGUGGGGAAUAUUGAACAAUGGGCGAAAGCCUGAUCCAGCAAUGCCGCGUGAGUGAUGAAGGCCUUAGGGUUGUAAAGCUCUUUUACCCGGGAUGAUAAUGACAGUACCGGGAGAAUAAGCUCCGGCUAACUCCGUG